UGCCCGGCGCCCUCCGGGCCGAGGGAGGCGGCCUCUGAGCCCCCGGACCCCCUGGGAAACCUUCCUGCCUCCUGGGGGGCUCUGGGGAGACGGAGGGGUCCGCCAGCCUCGGGUGGCAGAGCCAGCGAGCCCUCCAAAGGGCGUUGUGUCCCCUAUUUCCUGCCGCCAAGGCCUAGGAUCCUCCAGCAGAAGCCGCGUCACGUGGAAAAAUCUCAUUAACCUCCCUCUCCGCUGCCAGCCCCAUCGGGCAGUCGCACGCAGGUGUAAACCUUGGCAGGAUCCGGCUCUCCUUGAAGUGCUUUGUCGCACCGAUACGGCAAAAGUGUUACCUGCUUGCGAGAGGUCGGGUUGUGUUUCCUGUGGGAACCAAGGUUUUCCUGUCUCUUCUGCUCUAACCACAAAAUUACAUAUACAUGGCUCUAAGUAAUAUGAAUAAUUAGAAGAAGAAAAGAUGCCUACUGCAGAAGCAUAAAGAAGUGUGCCAUAAGAUUAGCUGAAGCCAUUCGUAUAUAUCACCUGACUGUGACCACAAAGAAGGAAGGGCACCCUACCUACCACCGGCUGCAGAUGCGAGACCGAUGACUGUUCAUUAAGGUUGCCCAGAUCCACAUUUCAGAUGUUAACAUUCAGCAGUGAUGCUAUUCAAAAUAAAAGCGCAAAGACCAUCUCCACAGCAUGAAGCGCAAAAGCAUUGUGCUCUCCAGGUGGACUCCUACUUAGUAACCAAGCAACCAUAUCCUGCAUCUCUAGCUCACACACACUGAUCUCACCAGAGGAUUUUCUUUGUCAAAUUUUGCCUUGAAUCAUUUGAAGAGCUGCAGUUUAUGUCUGAAAUAUGCUGGUUACGAAAUUGUGAAUGAAUUAUUUCAGUGAAUAAACAGGUCUGCAAAUCAUGUAAUUUAUUAAUUUUGUAAUACACUUUGAAAUUUUCAGCUGGGAAUGUAUCUUCUGCAAUAAAUCGAGUAACUUUAAUUUAUAGCCUAUACACUUUUUGAUCUACAUUGAUACAGUUUUUUAAAGUAACAAGGAGAGUAUUAAUGUUAAUUGUCCCGUGGACUGUAAUAUUGCCAAACUGUGCUUUGCUUUAUCUGCAAGGAUCAUAACAUUUUAUUUGAAUAACUAAUCAAACCAAAGUCAACAG